rnacentral:rRNA from 1 species
AUUGAACGCUGGCGGCAGGCCUAACACAUGCAAGUCGAACGGUAACAGGAAACAGCUUGCUGUUUCGCUGACGAGUGGCGGACGGGUGAGUAAUGUCUGGGAAACUGCCUGAUGGAGGGGGAUAACUACUGGAAACGGUAGCUAAUACCGCAUAACGUCGCAAGACCAAAGAGGGGGACCCUCGGGCCUCUUGCCAUCGGAUGUGCCCAGAUGGGAUUAGCUUGUUGGUGGGGUAACGGCUCACCAAGGCGACGAUCCCUAGCUGGUCUGAGAGGAUGACCAGCCACACUGGAACUGAGACACGGUCCAGACUCCUACGGGAGGCAGCAGUGGGGAAUAUUGCACAGUGGGCGCAAGCCUGAUGCAGCCAUGCCGCGUGUAUGAAGAAGGCCUUCGGGUUGUAAAGUACUUUCAGCGGGGAGGAAGGGAGUAAAGUUAAUACCUUUGCUCAUUGACGUUACCCGCAGAAGAAGCACCGGCUAACUCCGUG